ACUAAAGAGAUCAGCAGAAAUAGUUGCCACGAGACAAUAGGGAACAUUUUCCGACUUAAUAUCACAGCCUUUAUAAUUCACAAUAUUUCAGUUAAUGAACUACCGGUCUUUCGGUGAGUGUGCUGCUACGAGACGAUGUAUCGUCAUAAUCAUACUCCCGCUCCUGGUUAUUCACACUAGGUGCAGUAGAACCACCAACAUUAUUUAUACUGGGGGCCGUCACUAACGAAAAUGACGAGACGGCAUCGUCACUAAAGCUUGGAGGGACCCUGGGUGAGUCAACAGACUUCCUGACGUUUGAAAGAGAUGGUGCAUCAGUAUCAUGAUGUACAGCAUUGCCGUCCUGUGGAAGCAACGUGGAAGGCAAAUUUUGAGCUUCAGAAAUAACUGUAGUAGUAUGUGUCAUAUCAAUGGGAGCAUCGCUAUGGACAAAUCGACUAGGAUUUUCAGCAUUCUCUAAGGGCACAUCAUUAUGAACAAAACGAUCUUCACCAUCUUGAACUUUAGUGGGGUCGUAUGCAAGGGCAGAAUCAUCAACAUCAGUUAAUUUAGGGGCGUUCAAUUGCAGAGGGGAAGCGGCAGCAUUAGUAGGUUCGACAACUUCCGGUGCAAGAUUGACGGGUUUCUCAAGAGGUGCUGGUGUUACAGGCGUGCGAGCGGGUGUUAAGUCCGAGUUUUCGUACAUCUUUGGUUCAGGCUUAGGGAGGGCAGUAAUAUUAGCGUCGUUUUCUGAAGGCUGUGAAGAAGAAGUUCCUCGUUGUUGUUCUAAGUCGGACGUUUUAGGAAGUGAUUUUUGAUUCUUGGCGACAUGAAGGUAGUGACCAUACAUAUACAUAUGUAAAAAUGCGAUCCAUGGUGUCAAAACGAAACCUUCACCACCACCAAAAAUCAGCUUGAACACUUGAGGUGCCGGAUAAUUAUUAAAAUAAUAAUCAUUGCCUUCAUGUCUACCAGGAGCGCAAAGGAUACCGACGGUGGCUGGCCAAAACAGGAACCAUAAGGGAACUGACCAUACUAAGCCGCGUAAUCCGACAAAGACGAGCCACUCCAUCCAGCGAAAAACAAUAAACUUAAAGUGGUAUCUAGGCUUGGCACGAAGCACUUCCCUAAGCAAAAAGUUUUCCGGCCACCACCCAAAGUAAAUAGGCUUUACAAGUCCGGAACGUAAAUCACCCUGUACCAAAAUUGACUCAACCCAGUACGUGACAAUAGCUUGAACGAAAUUGGUUACAGCGGCAUCACCAGAGAGUGUAUCGGGAAGACGCCAAAGACGGACGGAAGUCUCGGUCUUCUUAUACAUACCAUAUGCAAUGGCAAACUCAAUACCUCCCGUGAUAAUAAAGGAACCACAUGCAACAAUGAUUAAAUAAACUAUACGAGGAACAUGAAUGUUAUGUCUGUAAAAGAAAGAAUCUUCAUUGAUGGAUAAUCCCUCAUCAAAAGGCUGACGACCACGAUUAAUGUGAAGCAAAUCAAUGUCCGAAGUAUUCUUAACAGUAGGCUUCUUUUUGUUGGAAAAGUAUUUCUUCCAGUAGUCGGAAGUAAAGACGGCAGGCGCCAUUCGGAGGAAAUUAGUGACGAAUUACUUACUUCCGGUGAAUAUUAAGUAAACAGCAGGCAACGAGAUCGUAAAGAACAGAUAUGUUUUAAACGACAAGAAUAAGUUGAAGAUCGAAUGAACACAACUUGGGAAGAUAAAAAAUCACGUAAAUAGAAGUUAAU
rnacentral:lncRNA from 1 species